UGCAGUCGAACGAUGAUCCGGUGCUUGCACCGGGGAUUAGUGGCGAACGGGUGAGUAACACGUGAGUAACCUGCCCUUGACUCUGGGAUAAGCCUGGGAAACCGGGUCUAAUACCGGAUACGACCUGUCACCGCAUGGUGGUGGGUGGAAAGAUUUUUUGGUUUUGGAUGGACUCGCGGCCUAUCAGCUUGUUGGUGAGGUAAUGGCUCACCAAGGCGACGACGGGUAGCCGGCCUGAGAGGGUGACCGGCCACACUGGGACUGAGACACGGCCCAGACUCCUACGGGAGGCAGCAGUGGGGAAUAUUGCACAAUGGGCGAAAGCCUGAUGCAGCGACGCCGCGUGAGGGAUGACGGCCUUCGGGUUGUAAACCUCUUUCAGCAGGGAAGAAGCGAAAGUGACGGUACCUGCAGAAGAAGCGCCGGCUAACUACGUGCCAGCAGCCGCGGUAAUACGUAGGGCGCAAGCGUUGUCCGGAAUUAUUGGGCGUAAAGAGCUCGUAGGCGGUUUGUCGCGUCUGCUGUGAAAGCCCGGGGCUCAACCCCGGGUCUGCAGUGGGUACGGGCAGACUAGAGUGCAGUAGGGGAGACUGGAAUUCCUGGUGUAGCGGUGAAAUGCGCAGAUAUCAGGAGGAACACCGAUGGCGAAGGCAGGUCUCUGGGCUGUAACUGACGCUGAGGAGCGAAAGCAUGGGGAGCGAACAGGAUUAGAUACCCUGGUAGUCCAUGCCGUAAACGUUGGGCACUAGGUGUGGGGGACAUUCCACGUUUUCCGCGCCGUAGCUAACGCAUUAAGUGCC
rnacentral:rRNA from 1 species